GGGCGACCGGCCACACUGGGACUGAGACACGGCCCAGACUCCUACGGGAGGCAGCAGUGGGGAAUAUUGCGCAAUGGGCGAAAGCCUGACGCAGCGACGCCGCGUGGGGGAUGAAGGCCUUCGGGUUGUAAACCCCUUUCAGCAGGGACGAAGCGAGAGUGACGGUACCUGCAGAAGAAGCGCCGGCUAACUACGUGCCAGCAGCCGCGGUAACACGUAGGGCGCAAGCGUUGUCCGGAAUUAUUGGGCGUAAAGAGCUCGUAGGUGGUCUGCUGCGUCCGCUGUGAAAACUCAGGGCUUAACCCUGAGCUUGCAGUGGAUACGGGCAGACUAGAGGUAGGUAGGGGAGAAUGGAAUUCCCGGUGUAGCGGUGAAAUGCGCAGAUAUCGGGAGGAACACCGGUGGCGAAGGCGGUUCUCUGGGCCUUACCUGACACUGAGGAGCGAAAGCGUGGGGAGCGAACAGGAUUAGAUACCCUGGUAGUCCACGCCGUAAACGUUGGGCGCUAGGUGUGGGGUCCUUCCACGGAUUCCGUGCCGCAGCUAACGCAUUAAGCGCCCCGCCUGGGGAGUACGGCCGCAAGGCUAAAACUCAAAGGAAUGACGG
rnacentral:rRNA from 1 species